GAUGAAGAACGCAGCGAAAUGCGAUAAGUAAUGCGAAUUGCAGAAUUCCAGUGAGUCAUCGAAUCUUUGAACGCACAUUGCGCCCCCUGGUAUUCAGGGGGGCAUGCCUGUCCGAGCGUCAUUACAACCCUCAAGCUCAGCUUGGUGUUGGGCCCCGCCGCCCCGGCGGGCCCUAAAGUCAGUGGCGGUGCCGUCCGGCUCCGAGCGUAGUAAUUCUUCUCGCUCUGGAGGUCCGGUCGUGUGCUCGCCAGCAACCCCCAAUUUUUUUCAGGUUGACCUCGGAUCAGGUAGGGAUACCCGCUGAACUUAAGCAUAUCAAUAAGCGGAGGA
rnacentral:misc_RNA from 1 species